rnacentral:rRNA from 1 species
AGUGAACGCUGGCGGUAGGCCUAACACAUGCAAGUCGAACGGCAGCACAGUAAGAGCUUGCUCUUACGGGUGGCGAGUGGCGGACGGGUGAGGAAUACAUCGGAAUCUACUUUUUCGUGGGGGAUAACGUAGGGAAACUUACGCUAAUACCGCAUACGACCUACGGGUGAAAGCAGGGGAUCUUCGCACCUUGCGCGAUUGAAUGAGCCGAUGUCGGAUUAGCUAGUUGGCGGGGUAAAGGCCCACCAAGGCGACGAUCCGUAGCUGGUCUGAGAGGAUGAUCAGCCACACUGGAACUGAGACACGGUCCAGACUCCUGCGGGAGGCAGCAGUGGGGAAUAUUGGACAAUGGGCGCAAGCCUGAUCCAGCCAUACCGCGUGGGUGAAGAAGGCCUUCGGGUUGUAAAGCCCUUUUGUUGGGAAAGAAAAGCAGCAGGUUAAUACCCCGCUGUUCUGACGGUACCCAAAGAAUAAGCACCGGCUAACUUCGUG